UACAGAGGUCUCAAGCGUUGUUCGGAUUCAUUGGGCGUAAAGGGCGCGUAGGCGGCGGGGUAAGUCGGGUGUGAAAUCUCAGAGCUCAACUCUGAAACUGCACUCGAUACUGCUCUGCUUGAGGACUGGAGAGGAGACUGGAAUUCACGGUGAUAGCGUGAAAUGCGUAGAUAUCGUGAGGAACACCAGAGGCGAAGGCGGCUACCUGGACAAUUGCUGACGCUCAGGCACGGAAAGCGAUGGGGAGC
rnacentral:rRNA from 1 species